GUUAUGCGACUAACUUCGUUCAGGUGAUGUUCAUUAAGCAAAAUUCCAUCACUGGGCAAAGUUUGUCGCAUAAA
rnacentral:pre_miRNA from 1 species